UGGGGAAUCUUGCACAAUGGGGGAAACCCUGAUGCAGCGACGCCGCGUGAGUGAUGAAGCUCUUCGGGGUGUAAAGCUCUUUCGGCAGGGACGAUAAUGACGGUACCUGCAGAAGAAGCUGCGGCUAACUACGUGCCAGCAGCCGCGGUAAUACGUAGGCAGCAAGCGUUGUUCGGAAUUACUGGGCGUAAAGAGUGCGUAGGCGGUUUGGCAAGUUUGGUGUGAAAUCUCCUGGCUUAACUGGGAGGGUGCGCCGAAAACUGUCAGGCUAGAGUGUGGGAGAGGAAAGCGGAAUUCCUGGUGUAGCGGUGAAAUGCGUAGAUAUCAGGAGGAACACCUGCGGUGUAGACGGCUUUCUGGACCACUACUGACGCUGAGGCACGAAAGCGUGGGGAGCAAACAGGAUUAGAUACCCUGGUAGUCCACGCCCUAAACGAUGCGGACUUGGUGUUGGCCCUUCAUUGGGUCAGUGCCGCAGUUAACGCGGUAAGUCCGCCGCCUGGGGAGUACGGUCGCAAGGCUGAAACUUAAAUGAAUUGACGGGGGUCAUAGCUGUUUCCUG
rnacentral:rRNA from 1 species